UGGGGAAUAUUGCGCAAUGGGGGGAACCCUGACGCAGCCAUGCCGCGUGAAUGAAGAAGGCCUUAGGGUUGUAAAGUUCUUUCGGUAUUGAGGAAGGUUGAUGUGUUAAUAGCACAUCAAAUUGACGUUAAAUACAGAAGAGGCACCGGCUAACUCCGUGCCAGCAGCCGCGGUAAUACGGAGGGUGCGAGCGUUAAUCGGAAUAACUGGGCGUAAAGGGCACGCAGGCGGUUAUUUAAGUGAGGUGUGAAAGCCCUGGGCUUAACCUAGGAAUUGCAUUUCAGACUGGGUAACUAGAGUACUUUAGGGAGGGGUAGAAUUCCACGUGUAGCGGUGAAAUGCGUAGAGAUGUGGAGGAAUACCGAAGGCGAAGGCAGCCCCUUGGGAAUGUACUGACGCUCACGUGCGAAAGCGUGGGGAGCAAACAGGAUUAGAUACCCUGGUAGUCCACGCUAUAAACGCUGUCGAUUUGGGGGUUGGGGUUUAACUCUGGCGCCCGUAGCUAACGUGAUAAAUCGACCGCCUGGGGAGUACGGCCGCAAGGUUA
rnacentral:rRNA from 1 species